GGAGACAAUGACCGACGUCAGGCUGUGUCCUCUAAGGGAAAGGGAUAUCAGACCUUGGGGCCAUUAACACAUGUCCUAGUGGAUGUGUCCCUGAGCAGGAUGGAUCCCCGAGGAGGGAGCACAGGCAGGCUCUGCCUUACUGACCGGCUUCCCACCCUGGAGGAGGAGGCCUGGUGCUGCCUCCUUGGGAGUGGCUAGGAAGAGCAUGGAGGAGAAAGGCUUGACUUGACGCUGGAUCCUCACCGCCUCAAGGUCUUCACUAUGUGGCUCCAGUCAUAGCCCAACAAGAAAGGUUUCAGCAGAGAUUUCAGCACAGACAUUAAGGGAGAGGGCGCAGAAAGCAAGUAUGCACACCAGCACACUGACGGGGCUUCCUGAGAGAUGCUCACCAGGACCAGCUUCGUAAAGAAAUCUCAGCGUUCCAAAUUCCCUUUAAAAAACAUAUUUAUUCCAUUAUACAGGGUUGUGUAAGAUAUUUCC
rnacentral:lncRNA from 1 species